UUUCUUCUUUUCUUUCUCUUUCAUUUUUAAAAGAAUAAAUUUAUUGUUUUCAAUAUAAAAGCAACCGAACAAUAUUACAGAGAAUGUGGAAAUCAGAGAAACAAUGACACAGAGUCAGAUGGGCUCCAGCCGCCUCCCCCCGGCACGCCCAGCCUCCCUCUGGGCGCGGCUCCCACUGCUUGCUUUUUCUGACGCAGGUCUUUAUUUUUGCCUCUUUGUAAUCAUAGUGUCCGGACAGUUUUGGGUCCUGUUCCCUCCCAUUUGCUUUGUGGCCGCGGGGUCUGGUCAAUUCUCAUGUUUUAAUGUCUGUGGGAUGGGCUGGGGAUGGGGGUGGGACUAAGUUGCUUAACCGCAUCCCCCUGCCCUGCAGUGGGCAAGGCUAGCCGCAUUCUACCCUGGGCUGCCUGUCCUCUUUGUGUCUGUUUGUCUAGGCCUCAACCUACCUGGGCAGCAGGGCCUGGCACCUGGUGUACCCCUUCCGCAGUGCCCCACCCUAAGUUCCCCCUUGUGCAGGUUGCCAGGCAGGCCUCAGAGGCCUCCUUCCUAGGAUAGGGUGAUAGACAGACCUGGUUUUAAAACCACACUGGGCUCUGUGACCUCAGACAAGUAGCUUAACCUCUCUGGACCACAGUUUCCUUAUAAUGGGUCUAUUACAACAGUAAAAUAAUGGCUGUAAAAUGCCCUGACACAGUUCCUGGCCUAUUGUGCUGUUGGGAACACAGAGGAAGUGACUGACUGGGGGUUCAGGGAAAGCUCCGUAGAAGAGGGAACACUUGAGCUGGGUCUUGAAGGAUGAGUAGAAGUUCACCAAGUGGGAAAGGACACUCUAGGAUGGCCGAGCCUCGAUUUAACAACCCCUACUUCUGGCCCCCCCCUCCCACCAUGCCCAGCCAGGUAAGAGGAGCGCCCCCUGCGGCCA